rnacentral:rRNA from 1 species
GGGUAAUGUCUGGUCGUAGGCCGGGGUAAGAGGUAUGUGGGAAGCGUUAUCCGGAAUUAUGGGGCAUAAAGUGCGGCUAGGCGGUUGAUUAAGUCUGAUGUGAAUAUGCGGGGCUCAACUCCGUAUUGCGUUGGAAACUGGUAGACUAGAGUAUUGGAGAGGUAGGCGGAACUACAAGUGUAGAGGUGAAAUUCGUAGAUAUUUGGAGGAACACCAGUGGCGAAGGCGCCUUUCUGGACUGUGUCUGACGCUGAGAUGCGAAAGCCAGGGUAGCGAACGGGAUUAGAUACCCCGGUAGUC